UGCAUGCACAGAGACAAUGCAUGCAUAAUCCCGCGUAAACACGGCCGGUGCCCAAUUUCCGUAUCGCUCGCUCAAUUAAUUUUUAUUUAUUUAAUUAUUAGCCGUUGAAACUGUCAUCUUCUUUGCUCAUUUAGAAGUAUUUCAUCAAUUCGAGACGAAGAUUUAACCACAGGGCCAACGAAAAUCAAGAAGAAGCCAUGGGAAGUGUACAGAAACCGAAGUUCCGAGUGGAUCUUUACAGAUUUAAAAACAUAUCAAAAUGGCGCCAUAGCCACUGGAUAUCUCUGAGCAUGAGUUGCUCUUCAAAGCAACCAAUUUAUGCAAACUGGCCUCCAUAGAUUUGUCUCAGAUUUCAGGAAAAAGCAUUCAUGGUGACUUAUUUUUUCUGGAACUCACUAUCUCUUGAAUCCGCAACCUGGCUGCACAAUUAUUAAUGUUAAUUUUUGAAGACACCUCAGAAGAGUGGUCCAGUGUUCCAUUUUCUACCACAUGGUUCCAUAAGAAAGUGGUUGGUGUGUUGGUGACUGAAUAUUUAAAUUUAUUGUAGUCUUCCACAAUUUGAUUAAAAAAUAAAAAAAAAAAAAAAAAAAAAAAAAAGCUUUACAGAAUAAGGGGAAAGCUUAUCAAGGCACUUAAGAGGUGCACCUUAAAAGUCUGUAAGAGA
rnacentral:lncRNA from 1 species